GUAAACAACCAGCCCUUUAACUCGGGGCUGCGUCAUAAACACGGCGCGCUUGGAAGACCACGAUGUCAUCUUCCUUCUGUCAGGAGGAUCCCAGUGAAGCUACAGGAGUUUCAUUAACGUCAACAACUUGGACCGAACGGUUUGUUUUGCUUGAUGAAGAGCAGGAAGGGCAGCCUGGAGAGAAAGAGAAGCCGGGUUGAGCCCACUACCAUCAUCCACGUACCACGAGGAAGAUGAGGGAGAGAAAUGAUCCUACCAUUAAAGAGACUGUGAAAAGAACGUUGAGAACAUCACCACUCUACAGGAAGACACAGUCCAGUAAUGGGUGUCAGAAUUUCAGUAGUGAACGACAGUUACUGUGGAAAAAUGUGUGUCAUUGUUGUACAAUGUCCUUUGACUCUGUUUACACAAGGUUAACACAAAAAGGUUUGAUUGUAAACUGAUAUUGGUAUGAAUUCAUGUUAUUCUCCUCUUCACAAGAAACAAACAAUCCAAAUUACCUGCAGAAAGCCCUUGAUGGACGCUUCAGCUGCAUCGUCAGACUGGCCAGACAGCAAGAUGCCAAUUUAUUUGUGUAACAUUCUGUGACCAAAUGUAUAGAUAACUUUUUGUAGAUUGUAAAAAAGAUAACCCAUUUAUUAAAAAAAAACUACACUAGAAUUACCGCACUGCGUUGUAUGACUCCGCUAACCAGUGCAGUGUCCGUCUACAUAUUUCUACAUAUUUUCUCUCGUAUAAAUGACACUGUAUCUCUUGACAACUGAAACCAUAAGAUGAGGUCAGUGUGGCCUUGACCUUUUGACUUUAACACAAAUACACAGUUAGACAAUCCGAAAACAUACAGUUAUGCCAAAAUAUAUUUUGUUUCACAUUCUAGAUGGCAUAAGCAGAGACAUCAACUCAGGAAAAAUAUUUCUGUAGAAAAGAAAGCCCUGUACGUGUGUACGUAUGUAUACAUACACA